CCGGACGACGCAUCCUCUAAAGAGGUGCGGAUCGACCCCCUUUUAAAGGGAGGUCGACGGAUGCGAGUGCCCAGUGGGCCAAUUUUGGUAAGCAGAAAUGGCGCUGUGGGAUGAACCAAACGCUGGGUUACGGCGCCCGAUGCUGACGCUCAUCAGAACCCAUGAAAGGUGUUGGUUGCUAUAGACAGCAGGACGGUGGCCAUGGAAGUCGGAAUCCGCUAAGGAGUGUGUAACAACUCACCUGCCGAAGCAACUAGCCCUGAAAAUGGAUGGCGCUCCAGCGUCGAGCCCAUACCCAGCCGCCGGUGGCAAAGAGAACGGGAAAGGGCUGAAAACAAGUCCUCCGGAUGAAAGGCCCCGGCGAGUAGGAGGGUCGCAGCGGCAAGCGUUGAAGGUGUCGGGCGUGGGCCCGCCUGGAGCUGCCGCUGGUGCAGAUCUUGGUGGUAGUAGCAAAUACUCGAGUGAGAACCUUGAGGACUGAAGUGGAGAAGGGUUCCAUGUGAACAGCAGUUGAACAUGGGUCAGUCGGCCCUAAGGAAUAGGGGAAACCCAUUCCGAAUCGGGUGGUGUAGUAAUGAGAGUAAUCUAGCCCCCGAAGAACCGAAAGGGUAUCGGGUUAAUAUUCCCGAACCUGGAUGCAGAGAUCGGCCCUCAGGGGCCCAAUGCGGUAACGCAAACGAACUCGGAGACGUCGGCGGGGGUCCCGGGAAGAGUUGUCUUUUCUUUGUAAGGGACGGACUCCCUGGAAUCGGCUUGCCCGGAGAGAGGGAUGUGGUUCCCGUAAAGCACCGCGGCUCUUGCGGUGUCCGGAGCACUCCCGCCGGCCCUUGAAAAUCCGAGGGAGAGAAAAUGAUUUUUGCACCAGACCGUACCCAUAUCCGCAGCAG
rnacentral:rRNA from 1 species